UACAGAGGAGCCAAGCGUUGUCCGGAUUGACUGGGCGUAAAGCGCACGCAGGCGGCCGCGCGCGUGGGGUGUGAAAUCUGGCCGCUUAACGGCCAGGCGCCAUCCCAUACGGCGCGGCUGGAGCCAUGCAGAGGGCGGUGGAAUUGCCGGUGUAGUGGUGAAAUGCGUGGAGAUCGGCAGGAACACCCAGGGGGAAACCAGCCGCCUGGGCAUGCGCUGACGCUGAGGUGCGAGAGCGUGGGGAGCGAACCGG
rnacentral:rRNA from 1 species